rnacentral:rRNA from 1 species
UACGUAGGGGGCAAGCGUUGUCCGGAUUUAUUGGGCGUAAAGAGCUCGUAGGCGGUGUGUCGCGUCGGCCGUGAAAACCUGCAGCUUAACUGUGGGCUUGCGGUCGAUACGGGCAUCACUGGAGUUCGGCAGGGGAGACUGGAAUUCCUGGUGUAGCGGUGAAAUGCGCAGAUAUCAGGAGGAACACCGGUGGCGAAGGCGGGUCUCUGGGCCGAUACUGACGCUGAGGCACGAAAGCCAGGGGAGCAAACGGG